rnacentral:rRNA from 1 species
UGCCAGCCGCCGCGGUAAUACGGAGGGUGCAAGCGUUAAUCGGAAUUACUGGGCGUAAAGCGCGCGUAGGCGGAUUGUUAAGUCUCAUGUGAAAGUCCACGGCUCAACCGUGGAAGUGCAUUUGAAACUGGAUGGCUUGAGUACUGGAGGGGGUGGUGGAAUUCCCGGUGUAGAGGUGAAAUUCGUAGAUAUCGGGAGGAAUACCGGUGGCGAAGGCGACCACCUGGCCAAAUACUGACGCUGAGGUGCGAAAGCGUGGGGAGCAAACAGGAUUAGAUA